UGCCUAGAAAAAAUAGAGAUAGAGACAUGUAAUACACAGGGGCAUCAUUGUUUAUUAUCAACUUUUGAAGGACAUUGGAAACUGUAGGUAGCAUCCCUCUCACAUACCUCACAUAACACUGUAGAGUUCAAGAAAGCUAAGACAUGUCUAGCAAUGGGGUGAGUACUUUUGCUUAAAAUUCUCCCAUGUUAGUGGGAUGCCUUGGUUCCUGCUCGGAAGGGGGGCCGGGUGAGGAAAAAGCACCCCGCAGGACACGGUUCCCGCUUGGAAGGGGGGGUGGGGGACGGACAGAGCACACCGCAGGGCAGGUUUCCCGCUUGGAAGGGGGGGGUGGGGGACGGACAGAGCACACCGCAGGGCAGGCUUCCCGCUUGGAAGGGGGGGGGGGGGACGGACAGAGCACACCGCAGGGCAGGUUUCCCGCUUGGAAGGGGGGGUGGGGGACGGACAGAGCACACCGCAGGGCAGGUUUCCCGCUUGGAAGGGGGGGUGGGGGACGGACAGAGCACACCGCAGGGCAGGUUUCACGCUUGGAAGGGGGGAUCGGUGAGGAAGAAGCACCCCGCAGGACACGGUUCCCGCUUGGAAGGGGGGGAAGAAGCACCCCGCCUGGAUGCCUACGUGCUGGGAAGGGCGGGGGGGGGUGGAUUGGGGCAGAGGAAACAGACCGCCUUGCGCUGGGGAGCCGUGCUUCUAGCUACCUGCCCUCAAUUAUCCCUAAACUAUCCACAGGCUUUCAUAAUGCCAGACAUUUCACUGCUGCGUGUUACCAAGGAAGAGCGGGAGGGUCUUCUACAGGAAUGCGGAUACCGCCCUGGCCCCUAUGCAGCUCGCCUGUGUGCGGCCAUGGUCCCCCCACCCCUCGCUGCACAGUGGAUCGGACGAGUUAGCCUGACCGGGACAGGGACCACGCUGGCUCUACCUAUAAACUUGUUAAAGCACAUUGCCCAAGAUCUAGCUGCAACUUUUCAAGAGAUUACUCAGGCAGAUUACACAGAUGUCAUAGAUCACAUCAAUGGGCUAUUCCACGUUUAGGCAUGCAUGCAAUCAGCCAUAACGAAAAUCCUGCUAUCACAAAGCAUUGCAAUCUACUUACCACGAGC